UGAUCGUGAGGUAUAACCUGGGACCAUUUCAAGUAAUUUGCUUUUGUUGGUGUUACUGCAGUUUCUGCAAAUGAAGAGAGCUUGCGGUAUGAAAUAAAAUGAGGUUUUGCAACCUGACUGCAGAAUUACAAGCAGAUGAGAAUCAGCAAUCUGUUCCCUGCUGCAUGGACUAGAACCUCCACCGGGAAUGCAACAAAAAACUCACUCUGGAGCAUGGCUUGAACAUACUGAUGAGAAAAGGAAAAGCCUAUAUUACGUUGAUUCAUUUGGAACUAGAAUUCUUCUGGCACACGUAUCGAAUAGCCAGCGUAGCUUUGCAGCUGCACUGUUGAACAUCAACCUGAAUGCUUGGUCUUGUUACGGAUUUAGCUAAUAAACUUUC